rnacentral:rRNA from 1 species
GACGAACGCUGGCGGCGUGCUUAACACAUGCAAGUCGAACGGAAAGGCCCUGCUUUUGUGGGGUGCUCGAGUGGCGAACGGGUGAGUAACACGUGAGUAACCUGCCCUUGACUUUGGGAUAACUUCAGGAAACUGGGGCUAAUACCGGAUAGGAGCUCCUGCUGCAUGGUGGGGGUUGGAAAGUUUCGGCGGUUGGGGAUGGACUCGCGGCUUAUCAGCUUGUUGGUUGGGUAGUGGCUUACCAAGGCUUUGACGGGUAGCCGGCCUGAGAGGGUGACCGGCCACAUAGGGUGGGAGUUAGGGCCCGGACACCUACGGGAGGGAGGGGGGGGGAGUGUAGAAUGAUGGACGGAAGCCUGAUGCAGCAACGCCGGGUGCGGGAGGACGGCCGUCGGGUUGGAAGCCACGUUCGCUUGUGACGAAACGUGAUGAGCGUAACUGAGUAAAGAGGCACGGGUAAACUAGGG